rnacentral:tRNA from 1 species
GAGCACCACCUUGCCAAGGUGGAUGUCGCGCGUUCGAGUCGCGUUGUCCGCU